GCACUCCCAGGAUGGGUGACCCACUGGGAAGUUGCUCGUGAGUUCCUAAAAACAAAACCGUGAGGGAAUGGUAAGCCCAAAGUGGACAAUAUCGUGCUACGAUGGUGGAACGGGCCCGGGAUGUGAUGGACCCGGGUCGAGAUGUGACAAUGGUAUCAGAGCCAAUCCCUGGCCGGAAGUGUGCAGACGAGGACGUCGGGCCCCUGAGAGGGGUGGAUUGUAACAUCCCACAUCGCCUAGGGGAGUGAUCCUUAAAUGUAUAUUCCCAUCCCUACCUAGCACGAGGCCUUUUGGGAGCUCACUGGCUUCAGGUUUCGUCGGAACUCCGAAGUUAAGCGAGAA
rnacentral:lncRNA from 1 species